ACCUGGCUGGCUCAGUCAGUAGAGCAUGCGACUCUUGAUCUCAGGGUUGGAGUUCAAGUCUCCCACUGGGCC
rnacentral:tRNA from 1 species